UGGGAAAGUGGUUUACUCUGGUCCAAGAACAAGUUACAUAGCAAGUGAUCUUACACCAGUCACAAGGUACAGUUUCCAUCUGCAAGUCUCUACUGAAGGAGAUGAUAGUCCACAAAGCAAAGUUGUUUCCGUCAUUACUCUAGAAUCAGUCCCCAGUGCACCCCAAUGCCUCAGAGUUUUAAACAAAUCCACAUCACAAAUUAAAAUCACCUGGGAACCACCAGCUACAUCAAAUGGGGUGCUGAAGGGCUAUCAAAUUGUAGUGAGAGAGAAAAAAGUGGAUAAUGUUAAAGAAGAUGAAAAUGCAGGAAAAAACAAAGAACGCAGUAAGUUAAGCUCUCUGCAAUGAUGAAAGAGCAAUAAUAAUUGAUGAAUAUGAGUUUUUAGUGAUGUCAGAAGCCAAAGGCUGAGGCUGUUAACCCUUAACCACCCUUGAUUCUUCUGGAUAUACAGUGUAAUGAAAAACUUCAUCCAAUCAAUGAGACGGAAAGACAUAAAUUUUCCUUCGUGUAUAAGUGAUAGGCUUUGACCCAUUUUAUAGCAAAAUUGAAUUAGAGCUAGGAAUCAUUUUGCUUUUACAUUUUUGUCACUUCUUUGAUGAGGUUGUUUUCGGCCCUGCCCUUUUGAACAGUAUGGGCUUACAUUAUUCCCUAGAAACUCGAUCAUGUCAUGGUCAAAUAUUAUAAAUUAAGCAAC